rnacentral:rRNA from 1 species
AUUGAACGCUGGCGGCAGGCCUAACACAUGCAAGUCGAACGAGUGGCGGACGGGUGAGUAAUGUCUGGGAAACUGCCUGAUGGAGGGGGAUAACUACUGGAAACGGUAGCUAAUACCGCAUACCAUCGGAUGUGCCCAGAUGGGAUUAGCUAGGAGGUGGGGUAAAGGCUCACCUAGGCGACGAUCCCUAGCUGGUCUGAGAGGCUGACCAGCCACCCUGGAACUGAGACACGGUCCAGACUCCUACGGGAGGCAGCAGUGGGGAAUAUUGCACAAUGGGCGCAAGCCUGAUGCAGCCAUGCCGCGUGUAUGAAGAAGGCCUUCGGGUUUUAAAGUACUUUCAGCGGGGAGGCGUUACCCGCAGAAGAAGCACCGGCUAACUCCGUGCCAGCAGCCGCGGUAAUAC